UGGGGAAUUUUCCGCAAUGGGCGCAAGCCUGACGGAGCAAUACCGCGUGAGGGAGGAAGGCCUUUGGGUUGUAAACCUCUUUUCUCAGGGAAGAAGUUCUGACGGUACCUGAGGAAUCAGCAUCGGCUAACUCCGUGCCAGCAGCCGCGGUAAUACGGAGGAUGCAAGCGUUAUCCGGAAUCAUUGGGCGUAAAGCGUCCGUAGGUGGCAUCGCCAGUCUGCUGUCAAAGGUCGGAGCUCAACUCCGGAAAGGCAGUGGAAACUGUGAAGCUAGAGUACGGUAGGGGUAGAGGGAAUUCCCAGUGUAGCGGUGAAAUGCGUAGAGAUUGGGAAGAACAUCGGUGGCGAAAGCGCUCUACUGGGCCGUAACUGACACUGAGGGACGAAAGCUAAGGGAGCGAAAGGGAUUAGAUACCCCCGUAGUCC
rnacentral:rRNA from 1 species